rnacentral:rRNA from 1 species
AGGGUUCGAUUCUGGCUCAGGACGAACGCUGGCGGCAUGCCUAACACAUGCAAGUCGAACGGAGUAAUGACUUCGGUUAUUACUUAGUGGCGAACGGGUGAGUAACACGUGAAUAAUCUGCCCUGUACGAUGGGAUAACAGCUGGAAACGGCUGCUAAUACCGUAUAUGACCACGCCGAGGCAUCUCGGAGGGGUGAAAGCGCUUAAGCGGUACAGGAUGAGUUCGCGUCCAAUUAGCUAGUUGGUGAGGUAACGGCCCACCAAGGCGACGAUUGGUAGCCGACCUGAGAGGGUGAUCGGCCACACUGGAACUGAGACACGGUCCAGACUCCUACGGGAGGCAGCAGUGGGGAAUAUUGGGCAAUGGAGGAAACUCUUUAACCCCCAGCAAUGCCGCGUGAGUGAUGAAGGUCUUCGGAUUGUAAAGCUCUUUGAUUGGGGACGAAUAAAUGACGGUACCCAAGGAACAAGCCCCGGCUAACUAUGUGCCAGCCGCAGC